UGCUUGCAACACCACAGCGCAGGUAUUUCCUUGGCAUCGAGACAUGGCGUACGGCAGACAUAAGUAGUGGGUCGUGCCUACCCUCUGAACAUUAGCGGCUCACAGCUACAUCGCAUAGAGAAAUGCCGGAUUCAUAAUCAGGUAUAGUAGCAGCAACUUGGCAUUGUUAUAGCAGGACCUUGGUUUGCUGUAGACCUGUACACUGCGAAGUGCCGCGUCUUUCCUAGGUUUAAUCAUCAUGGGUUGGGAUGGUAAGCUAGGCUUGUGCCAUCUUCCAAGGCCUUUGUGGUGGAGCCUUGAAUGUUGGCAUGCUAGUUUGAGGUCGAAAGGGAGAGUCGGUUGGUCAGCCCCGGGAGGCCGUACAGACCAAAGGACCCAAAUAGUGUAAGGAACUGACAUACUUACGCAUACUUGGUUUACAAGUAUAUAGGGAAGAAAAGAAAUACAAUUCAACUUACCACGCUAAUCAAUCCUCGUGACCUACUGGACCCCACAGAAGGUCUUAGCCCAACCAGGACCACUUCGCCCGCCAGCAUUCGCCGGCAUUCGGAUUGGAGUAUGUAUCAAUGACGGGAAGCGAGGUGCUGUCGCCAGGAUUCGGACAUGGAGCUCUCGACUAACCUGUGCCGGGGCCCAAGCGCUCUGAGCCGGCAAUCAGUGUGGACCUGCUUAGCCUGCGUAUACAAGCUCGGGCUUUCAUGCCACAGGGCUGAGUCAGGAAAUAUGAGUCCAGGGUGUCUGAGGGCGGCAGCAGCGUAAGCAGCUAGAGGAGCCGUUGGAGAGCAAGAAGCUGUGCAACAAUCUGUCGUUUCCAUAUGAAGCAUUUCGCCAUGAGUACCAUGGAACUUUCUCUAUGGAGCUAUAGGGGGCUUAGGACCGCCGUGAGGUAGGUGUCAAGCAGCCAUCAUGGGUACCCCUUGCAUAGAGCUGCAAUCAGACAUCAUAUGUGCGUGUUGAAUGGUUUUAAGUACAUGAUUGCCUAUUGAUCUUCAUGUCUUUUGCUGCUUGCGUUUUUGCUGUAGGGCAAUUGACACAUGGGUCGGUCGAGAUAAAUUGCGUAUUUGCCAAAACACACCAUUCGAUGUUGGACAUGGUAUAAUUUGUGACGAUUAUAAGGAGCUGUCGGUUGUACUUGAAUGAGGGCGCUAUGCUUGCUGCGAAAUAGUUGUGCAACCUAUGCCGGAUUUCUGCAAAGCUGUUUCGGACAGAAGAGGAACGGAUUAAUUGUCUAUGGCCAUAAUACUUGACUUUCAUCCAAGCGAAUGUAACUAUGUUGGCAAUCGCCUAGACCGUUGCCCUAGGCUGUGCCACCUCACUUGUUAGCUUUCUCGUGUUUCUUUGUGCAUCAGUACCUGUGAACUAUGGAGGCCUCCUCUGUUGGGAUGGAGUCUGGUCAAAGCUCUCCCGCGGUUGCCUCGCUGGCCACCGCGCUACGCGUUGGAGAGGAGGUAUUUCGUGAAGCUUUGCAAAAAGCACCUACGCUUCCUAAGUUAACAGACGUUGGAAGAGGACCAGCUACUUUGGCAGACGCGAUAGUGGCCAGGGACGCCAAAGAAGAGGAGCGGCGAAGACGUGAAGCAGUCAGGAAAGAUGUAAAGAUAAAAGGAAAGCAAGUCACGCCUUUACCAGCUGUUGUAGAGCAGGCGGCGCCAGCACCUACGCCGGGACUGCAUAUUGGCAGCGUCAACGAGGCGUCCGCUUUUUGGAUGUUCGUUGAG
rnacentral:lncRNA from 1 species